rnacentral:rRNA from 1 species
UACGUAGGUGGCAAGCGUUGUCCGGAAUUAUUGGGCGUAAAGCGCGCGCAGGCGGUCCUUUAAGUCUGAUGUGAAAGCCCACGGCUCAACCGUGGAGGGUCAUUGGAAACUGGGGGACUUGAGUACAGAAGAGAAGAGUGGAAUUCCACGUGUAGCGGUGAAAUGCGCAGAUAUCGGGAGGAACACCGGUGGCGAAGGCGGCAUUCUGGACUGCAACUGACACUGAAGAACGAAAGCCAGGGGAGCAAACGGG